ACUUCCGCCCUCUGAGGUUGGCAUCAUGGCCAGGAGAGCAACAGUGAGCACAGCACAUCCAGGGAGCAGUAAGAACGGAACGGAUAGGAGGAUACGUAAAAUGAAGGGCGAGGGGCCAAAGAACAGCGCGUACAAACGAUAGGUGCAGUGCUUGUCACACUUUUACCACAGCAGGACCAGGCCAAGUAUGUGAUACCACCGGAGCAAGACAUUUGAAAAAAAGCAGCAAAGGCAAAAAAAUUGUAGCCUCAGGUCUUCAAUUUCUCAAAAACCUUCUUCAUUUGCUGUGUGAGCCCCACCCAGCUACAUUGGGGAGUAUCUGGAGCAGUUGGCAGAGCCCCAAUGUGUAGCUCUGGAAGGGAUGAUGGCUUACCCGCUCCACUACCAGUAGCCACAGGAGGCAAAGGUGUCCUCCUCCUGACCGUGACUCGGGCUGACCUUCCGCUGUGGAUCCCGCUGUCUGACCGUCCGCUGUCUGACCGUCCUCUGUGGAUCCCGCUGUCUGUGCCUGCUCUGCUGGGGGAAGUGGGAAGCGCAUCGGGAUGAGCAUGCGGCAGGCUGGCUCCGAACCAUCCACUGGAGCGGGGACUGUCUUCUUUAUACUUUAAGUAAACAGAAUUGAAGCAACCUUGGCCUUGGACAGCCGGCUUGUCUCUAAUGACUUUUCUUCAAAACCACAAAUGCAUUUUGUCUCGAUUUGAGGUGCUUCUUGCCUCUCGUCUGGGCAGCCUUAGGGAGGGCGUGAAGCAGCAUCUGGCAGCCUGAAGAUUUCGCCGCAGAUGCUGUGCUUUUGUGAAAAGUCAAUGUCAUUGCAAGCCAGACAAGAGGGCGAAGACGGCACAGGGCUGCAAACCUGUCAGCCAAGGCUGAGAGUCCAGAGAUGGCAGACGGCUGCUCUCAGGGAGGCCCCGUGUCAGAUGGGAAGGACCAGGAGACGCACUUUUAUUGGAAGAAAAUUUAGUGUGGAGGGGAGAUGCUCGACCAGUUAGGAAAAGGAAGAAGAAUAAAAGACCUUUCUUAGCCUCGCUCCCCCGGGGCGAGCAUCCUGAGCCCUGCUUCACCUGUUUUCCAUGCACACUGCUACUGUUGCUUGCAUUUUUUUAAAAGCAGAAACGGACUCCUGUAACACAAACUGUGGGUGACCUACUUUUUAGGAUGUAUCAUGAGCUGUGCUCCUCAUCAUUAAAUGAGCUUCUUUGCCACCAUUUAAUGACUUUAUAGUAACUCUCAUAUGAAUGGAACAUAAUUUAUUUAAGUAAUUUUCUAUUCUUGGAUAUUUAAGCGGUUUCUAAUUUUUCAGUAUCAUGAGCAUCUUCCAAAUGAUUAUCCUAAUGGUUGAAAUUCUGUGCACAUCCUAAUUAUGUCCUUGGGAUACAUUUCUAGCAAAAGUAUCACGAGAAUAAAGGGUGUACAGAGUCUAAAGGAUUUUGAUACAAAUUGUCAAAUUGCUCCCCAGAAGGCUUGUACAGCUUUGUGCUGUUAGUAGCAAAACAUGAGUUGCCUAUUUUCUAGCAAUUUUAUUACCAUUGGUUGUGUUCUUUUUCCUUUAUGAAUUUAAUGACGGCCAGAAAUCAGGAACCUGAGUAACCAGACACAUGAGAUGGGAAUGAUAACAAGGGGCUCUUUUACAGGUCUGUUGUGGCAAUCAACCCGCAUAAUGGAUGUUAUGCAUUUGGAAAGAAAACAGUUCGCAGUCAGGGAGCUUUGUGAAGGAAAGGUAGUUAGGAAGCCAGAUAAAUAAAGGGAUUUACUUUCUCCCUUAAGUAGAAAAUUAGUGUGUAUUUAUAAAAAUUGAGAUAACCCACAGGUCUAAUGGUAAGAGGUAAAAUCACUUCCUCACCUCCCCCACAGUUCUCUCGCCAGAGGUAGAUGCUUGUAGCUGAUCUUCCCUUGUAUGUAUAUAAACCCUGUGUGUGCAAUCAUGUGCACACAUCCGCAUACACAUGUGUCUGUGCAUUCAUCCAUAUGGUUUUUAAAGAUUUAUUUACUUAUGUGUGUGUGUCUUUGUGAGUGUGCAUGUGUGUGCAAAGGCUAAAAGAGUGUCAGCCUCCUUUAUCACUCUCCACUUAUUUCUUUGAGGCAGGAUCUCUCCCUGAUCCUGGGGCUCUGGUUUUCUCAGCUAAGCUGGAAGCUUGCAAGCCCCACCUCCUGUCUUCACCUCCCUGAGAACAGGGGUUACAGAUGCGUGCAAGUUACUAGGCUUAUUACAUGAAUGCUGGUGUCCAAACUUUGGUCCUCAUGAUUACACAAUUGCGCUCAACCACUGAGUGGUCUCCCCAGCCCCAAUCUACAGUAUUCUGUUACUGGUGUACAUGUGUGUUCAUGGGAGUGUGGGCACACGGGUACAUAACAUAGUUCACAUGUGGAAGUUGGACAAUAGCUUUGGGCGGUCCACCUAACUCGGGCCCUCACACUUGAGCAGCAAACGCUUUACCUACCAAACCAUCUUCGCAUUCUGUGUUGUUCUGAAGACGGGAAGUCAUGCGGGAUUUUAUUUUCAUCUCAGAGCAGCGCCUCCACAGGCUUCCUAACGCCAGCUUGGAUUCCAUUGCUGGCUAAAGCAUCCUCUACUCCUUCUUUCCCCUGGACAGUGUGGUGACAAUUCACUCUCACACCCUUUUUCUCCAGUGCUUAGCUGGUGUUGGAUCUUAAGCAACGGAAUGUUAAUUGGAAGUAGACGGUUGUUCAUCAAAGAGAAGAUGCCAAUGUGUCCCCAGCUCUGGGGCAUGUGGAAGGCUGGGGAUCCUGCACCUGGGAUUUCUGGCUGUGCCCUUCAGUAGCCUCACCUGGGUCAGAAGCAGCUGGUCGCCCACUGAGUCUUUUGACUAUCAGCGUUCUGAGCAACCUACAGGGAAGAAUGGGUCUGUCUCCAGCACAUUUCUUGCUGUCCUCUACCGUAAGGCAAACCACUGAGGAUUCUUUCUCUUGUUAAUUAACUGGGGCUUUAUUAAACACCUUAGCAGCUAGCCAACUGCUCUGACCCAGCCAUUCCUAGGAGACAUUCUGAUGAGAAAUUUUGUGUUCUAAUGGGUACAUAUUUAGUGACAGCUUUUGUGUCAGCGUGUGCGUGUUUAAUUGGAUAUGUCAGUAUCAGUUCAACCUGGUCGUGCAACCUAAUAUUUAUCAGGUUCUUAAUCUCUGCUAGGUACCAGUCCAGAAAUUUAUGUCUAGGAUAAUAAUAAAAAUGAUGGUGAAGAUGCUUA